AUAUCUACAGUAAAGCAUGCAUUUAGACAAAUAUGAUAAAAUAUCAAGGAGAUGGAAAAGGGGCUUGCCCCGUCCACUCCACGCAUCGACCUGGUAUUGCAGUACCUCCAGGACCGGUGCACCCCUC
ensembl:snRNA U2 U2 spliceosomal RNA